rnacentral:tRNA from 1 species
GCCGAGAUGUCCGAGUGGUCGAUGGUGACGGUCUUGAAAACCGUUGUACGGAAACGUACCGUGGGUUCGAAUCCCACUCUCGGCGCCA